rnacentral:rRNA from 1 species
AGGCUAAAUGGGAAUUGAUCGGUUUAGAAAUAGACCUUCCUUCGGGCAAUUUAAGGUGCUGCAUGGUUGUCGUCAGCUCGUGCCGUGAGGUGUUAGGUUAAGUCCUGCAACGAGCGCAACCCCUGUCACUAGUUGCCAUCAUUAAGUGGGCGACUCUAGUGAGACUGCCUACGCAAGUAUGAGAGGAAGGUGGGGAUGACGUCAAACAUCACGGCCCUUACGCCUUGGGCCACACACGUAAUACAUGGCCGGUACAGAGGGCGCUACACAGCGAUGUGAUGCAAAUCUCGAAAGCCGGUCUCAGUUCGCAUUGGAGUCUGCAACUCGACUCUAUGAAGCUGGAAUCUGUAAUCGCUAGUAAUCGCGCAUCAGCCGGGCGCGGUGAAUACGUUCCCGGGCUUGGACACACCGCCCGUCAAGCCAUGGAAGUGAUCUUCUCUGGGGUACCUGAAGUC